rnacentral:rRNA from 1 species
UACGUAGGCCUCAAGCGUUAUCCGGAUUUAUUGGGCGUAAAGAGCAUGUAGGAGGCUUUGCAAGUCUUUGGUUAAAGACCACCGCCUAACGGUGGGAGUGCCGAGGAAACUGCAGAGCUGGAGGAGGUUAGAGGUGCAUAGAACGCGUGGUGUAGGGGUGAAAUCCGUUGAUAUCAUGCGGAAUACCAAAGGCGAAGGCAGUGCACUGGGACCUUCCUGACUCUGAGAUGCGAAAGCGUGGGGAGCAAAAAGG